AGAUGGAUCAUUCAAAUAAUGUCGCUUGUACUGUGGUAUUACUGAGAAAUCGUAUUUGGCUAUGGUGUCCUAAACGAAUAGAAAGCUUACCGGUGUUAUCUGACGUGCAUGUGGUCCACUGCGGCAACUGAACGACAGGUGAUUUGAAGUGCAACAACGCAACGCUGUGGUUAAGACUGAAACAACUGAAUGCAAGUGGUGACAGUGCAACAACUGAAUGCAGGUGGUGUCUACUAAGCGAACAGAAAGUUUAACGGUUAAGUCGUGUAAAAAUCUGUCAUAGUGCAUGUGGUCGGUCGCUCUAACUAUUAAGAGACAAGUCUAUUUACGCCUCUCAGCGAUGGAUGUCUCGGAUCUCGUAACGAUGAAGAACGCAGCUAGCUGCGAGAUGCAGUGUGACAUGCGAACUUCUGUGAAUCAUUAGAUUUUUGAACGCAAAAGGUACUUCUAAAUUCUUUUAGGAGUAUGUUCACUUCAGUGCUUUUAUAUAUUUGUUAACCUAAUGGGUGGUUGACGUGAAUAGUUGCUGUGAUUGCGGUAACUGGAAGCUAAUGAUAAUGGUUUUUAGGUGAUGCUUUAAAGACCGUUAUUGCAUUAUUAAUAAGCCUGAAUUUGAGCAAGUGUACCCGCUGAACUUAAGCAUAUUAUUAAGCGGAGGAAAAGAAACUAACUAGGAUUCCCCUAGUAACUGCGAGUGAACAGGGAAGAGCUCAAACUGGAAAUCGGCAGUUUUCUGUCGAAUUGUAGUCUCAUGAAAUGCAGCCUGUAGAUGUUGUGAAUUAAGUCUCUUGGAAAAGAGUACCAAAGAGGGUGAAAGUCCUGUCUUUAUUCACAACUAUUUACUUUCGGUGCAUUUUCAAAGAGUCGCGUUCCUUGAGAUUGGAGCGCUAAGUGGGUGAUAAACUUCAUCUAAAGCUAAAUACUAACGAGAUUCCGAUAGCGUACAAGUACCGUGAGGGAAAGUUGAAAAGAACUUUGAAAAGAGAGUUAAAAGGAACUGAAAUUGCUGAAAGGGAAGUGGAGAGAUUCAACGGUUUAGCGAAUCUUCUGCAUGCUUGGAUAUUGCAUCCUUCAGUGUGUAGUCGAGAUUUGCGGUGACUCUGGAAGCGAUUGUACAAGCAGAUUACAUUAUUGAUAGGUUCUAUAAUUAGGGCCAUGUCUUUGAUGUCUUCAGUCUGUGUGAUCUAUGUAAUUCUAACUCAGCAUUAAUUGUCGAGUUAUACUCUUCCAGACAUGUUGAUUCUCUCCUCCCCGUCUUGAAACACGGACCAAGGAGUCUACUUUAUGUGCAAGUACAAGGGUGGAAAACCUAUGUGCGAAAUGAAAGUAAUAGUUAGGAUGGUUAUGCCUGCACUAACACUCGGCCACUGAGUCGAAGUUGAGCACAUAGAAUAGGACCCGAAAGAUGGUGAACUAUGCCUGAGUAGGGUGAAGCUAGAGGAAACUCUGGUGGAAGCUCGUAGCGAUACUGACGUGCAAAUCGUUCGUCAAACUUUGGUAUAGGGGCGAAAGACCAAUCGAACCAUCUGGUAGCUGGUUCAAUC
rnacentral:misc_RNA from 1 species